GAUGAACGCUAGCUACAGGCUUAACACAUGCAAGUCGAGGGACCGGCGCACGGGUGAUUUACACGUAUCCACCCUCCCCUUUACUCGGGGAUAGCAUUUCGAUAGAAAGAUUAAUACCCGAUGUAAAGGUUGGUGAUGCGUUCCAUUAGGUUGUUGGUGAGGUAACGGCUCACCAAGCCUUCGAUGGAUAGGGGUUCUGAGAGGAAGGUCCCCGACAUUGGAACUGAGACACGGUCCAAACACCUACGGGAGGCAGCAGUGAGGAAUAUUGGUCAAUGGGCGUUAGCCUGAACCAGCCAAGUAGCGUGAAGGAUGAAGGCUUAUGGGUCGUAAACUUCUUUUAUAUAAGAAUAUGUAUUAUAUGAAGAAGCACCGGCUAACUCCGUGCCAGCAGCCGCGGUAAUUC
rnacentral:rRNA from 1 species